UCGUAUUUCUCCAAAGCCACCACAAUGUCGCUGAAAUCCGGCCGCUUCGACGGAUUCGCCGCCCAACACCGCUUAAUCAGGUGGGCUAGUGCCGGCUGACAACUCGCCGGUAAUGGGGGCCUCUCAUUCUGCCCAAUUCAAAUAAAGUAUCGAAAUCAGCAUUACUUGUGGAAGGGGGAGUUUGAGAUUUGGUACCUUCUCGGCGACGGCAAAGGCAGCUUGCACGGGGGUCAUCCCUUGAAAGGGAAGCAGAGCCGUGGUGAGCUCCCACAGCACAAUUCCAAAGCUGUACACAUCAACUUUGCGAGUAUAAGGCUUCUCCUUGAUCAUCUCCGGCGCCAUCCAUCGGAAGUACGUUGGCCAACCUUCAAAUAUCUGCCUGCUAACUCCGGUCGCCACUCUUUGGCAACAAUCGUCGGCCAACUCCGAUCGACACUUCCGACGAGAGGCAACUUCGAAUGCCACCUUGAUGACCGUCGUCGGCCAACCUCUGGCCCUACCUUGGUGCCCAACAACCAAUCUCCAAUUGUCACUAGUCAACUCCAAUCACCAUCGACCAACCUUGGGCAACCUGCCUUCCCUCCUCCCCCAGUGAAAUUUCGGCCAACCUCAGACAGCCACCAACGAACCUUGAAAAACAUUAAUAAAAAUACUCUUAGUAUAUAA